GAACGAGGACUUCAGGGGACCAGCUUGGACACUUAUGACAACAGAAGAGUUUAAUUUCGGCAGUUUUCCCAAAAGCCAGUGUGUGAACUCGUCUGAAACGCCCAGCAGUCUGGACGAGCUGAUGCCGGAAUGUGAGAAUCCAGAGGAUCCCAGGCAGGUUGAAGACAGGAAGGCGUUUCUUCACCUUCUUGAGGGGUUGCUGGAUGUGGAGGCUGACAGACGACUCACCCCCAGACAGGCAGUGUUACACAACUUUACAGUGAUGACACACCUGGUG